UACGAAGGGGGCUAGCGUUGUUCGGAAUUACUGGGCGUAAAGCGCACGUAGGCGGAUCGAUCAGUCAGGGGUGAAAUCCCAGAGCUCAACUCUGGAACUGCCUUUGAUACUGUCGGUCUAGAGUAUGGAAGAGGUGAGUGGAAUUCCGAGUGUAGAGGUGAAAUUCGUAGAUAUUCGGAGGAACACCAGUGGCGAAGGCGGCUCACUGAGCCAUUACUGACGCUGAGGUGCGAAAGCGUGGGGAGCAAACAGG
rnacentral:rRNA from 1 species